ACGCUCGACACCUACGGGAGGCAGCAGUGGGGAAUAUUGCACAAUGGGGGAAACCCGUGAUGCAGCGACGCCGCGUGAGUGAAGAAGUAUUUCGGUAUGUAAAGCUCUAUCAGCAGGGAAGAAAAUGACGGUACCUGAGUAAGAAGCCCCGGCUAACUACGUGCAAGCAGCCGCGGUAAUCUGAGCGGGCUGGCAAGGC
rnacentral:rRNA from 1 species